CGGACGUUCUGAUUCUGCCCUUUGCACUUUGGACUUUGACGCGAGCGGACCUCACCUGUGAACCCUCCUGUGAACCCAGACCUGUGAAGGAAACUCUGAGACUUUUGCACUGCUUGAGACUUUUUGUUGGAAACUAAACUUGUUGGCGAACCGAACUACACGAGAUCCGGACUACGAGAGACCCGAGACCCCGAGGAAGGCCCUCCGACGACCGAGAGCCGAGGACCAGCCCCUGCUGAAGCGACCGGGCUGUGAUUUGGACCAUAAGCUCCUGACUUCCUGUUUCGUGGACCACCGAGAAGCCGGAGAAUGGUGGACCACUCGUACGCGCGGCCGGGAGCUGGUGCCGACGACGUUGGAGCUCCCCAGCCCCCGCCCCCGGGAGGUAACGUUGCACAAUAUCAGUUUAAC